GCGGCACCUGGUCGAGGGCGGCGGCGGCGUUCCAGCCGCCGCGCACCAGCCUGACCACGGCGGGCAGUGCCACG
rnacentral:tRNA from 1 species